AACGAACGCUGGCGGCAUGCCUAACACAUGCAAGUCGAACGAGAUCUUCGGGUCUAGUGGCGCACGGGUGCGUAACGCGUGGGAAUCUGCCCUUUGGUUCGGAAUAACAGUUGGAAACGACUGCUAAUACCGGAUGAUGACGAAAGUCCAAAGAUUUAUCGCCAGAGGAUGAGCCCGCGUAGGAUUAGCUAGUUGGUGUGGUAAAGGCGCACCAAGGCGACGAUCCUUAGCUGGUCUGAGAGGAUGAUCAGCCACACUGGGACUGAGACACGGCCCAGACUCCUACGGGAGGCAGCGGUGGGGAAUAUUGGACAAUGGGCGAAAGCCUGAUCCAGCAAUGCCGCGUGAGUGAUGAAGGCCUUAGGGUUGUAAAGCUCUUUUACCCGGGAUGAUAAUGACAGUACCGGGAGAAUAAGCUCCGGCUAACUCCGUGCCAGCCGCCGCCGUAAGAC
rnacentral:rRNA from 1 species